rnacentral:rRNA from 1 species
UAAUGCAUGCAAGUCGAGCGAUGAGGCUCCUUCGGGGGUACAUCAGCGGCAGACGGGUGAGUAACACGUAGGUGACCUACCCUCGAGACGGGGAUAACGGCUGGAAACAGUCGCUAAUACCCGAUAGACUUACCAGGUCAAAGCGGUAAGAAAAGCUACGGUGCUUGAGGAGGGGCCUGCGGCCCAUCAGCUAGUUGGUAGGGUAACGGCCUACCAAGGCGAAGACGGGUAGGGGGUGUGAGAGCACGAGCCCCCACAAUGGGACUGCGACACGGCCCAUACUCCUACGGGAGGCAGCAGCAGGGAAUAUUGCACAAUGGACGGAAGUCUGAUGCAGCGACGCCGCGUGAGUGAAGACGGCCUUCGGGUUGUAAAGCUCUUUUACGGGGGACGAGGAAGGACGGUACCCUGGGAAGAAGUGUCGGCUAACUACGUGCCAGCAGCCGCGGUAAGACGUAGGACACAAGCGUUAUCCGGAGUUACUGGGCGUAAAGCGCCUGCAGGCGGCCUGGUAAGUUGGACGUGAAAGCCCCGUGCUUAACGCGGGGAGGUCGGACAAUACUGCCAAGCUAGAGUGCGUCAGAGGGGAGUGGAAUUUCCGGAGUAGCGGUAAAAUGCGCAGAUAUCGGAAGGAACACCAGUGGCGAAAGCGACUCCCUGGGGCGCGACUGACGCUAAGAGGCGAAAGCUAGGGGAGCGAACAGGAUUAGAGACCCUGGUAGUCCUAGCCCUAAACGAUGGAUGCUAGGUGUGGGACGUACAGUUCCGUGCCGGAGCCAACGCGAAUUAAGCAUCCCGCCUGGGGACUACGUUCGCAAGGCUAAUACUCUAUACGAAUUGACGGGGACCCGCACAAGCAUCGGAGCGUUUGGUUCAAUUCGAUGCUACACGAAGAACCUUACCUGGGUUUGACAUGUACGUGGUAGAGAAGCGAAAUCGGAUUGACCCUUCGGGGAGCGUACACAGGUGCUGCAUGGCUGUCGUCAGCUCGUGCCGUGAGGUGUCGGGUUAAGUCCCGUAACGAGCGCAACCCUUAUCCUUAGUUGCACGUAUCUAGGGAGACUGCCGGCGGGAAGCCGGAGGAAGGUGGGGAUGACGUCAAGUCAGCAUGGCCCUUAUGUCCAGGGCUACACACACGCUACAAUGGCCGGUACAAAGGGCAGCAAAGUCGCGAGGCGGAGCGAAUCCCAACAAAGCCGGUCGUAGUUCGGAUUGCAGGCUGCAACUCGCCUGCAUGAAGCUGGAGUUGCUAGUAACCGCGCGUCAGCUAUAGUGCGGUGAAUACGUACCCGGGUCUUGUACACACCGCCCGUCACGUCAUGGAAGUCGGUAACGCCUGAAGGCGGUAGCCUAGCUCGGAAGAGGG